GAGUAACGCGUAGGUAACCUGCCUUGUAGCGGGGCAUAACUAUUGGAAACGAUAGCUAAUACCGCAUAACAAUGGAUGACACAUGUCAUUUAUUUGAAAGGGGCAAUUGCUCCACUACAAGAUGGACCUGCGUUGUAUUAGCUAGUAGGUGAGGUAACGGCUCACCUAGGCGACGAUACAUAGCCGACCUGAGAGGGUGAUCGGCCACACUGGGACUGAGACACGGCCCAGACUCCUACGGGAGGCAGCAGUAGGGAAUCUUCGGCAAUGGGGGCAACCCUGACCGAGCAACGCCGCGUGAGUGAAGAAGGUUUUCGGAUCGUAAAGCUCUGUUGUAAGUCAAGAACGAGUGUGAGAGUGGGAAGUUCACACUGUGACGGUAGCUUACCAGAAAGGGACGGCUAACUACGUGCCAGCAGCCGCGGUAAUACGUAGGUCCCGAGCGUUGUCCGGAUUUAUUGGGCGUAAAGCGAGCGCAGGCGGUUUGAUAAGUCUGAAGUUAAAGGCUGUGGCUCAACCAUAGUUCGCUUUGGAAACUGUCAAACUUGAGUGCAGAAGGGGAGAGUGGAAUUCCAUGUGUAGCGGUGAAAUGCGUAGAUAUAUGGAGGAA
rnacentral:rRNA from 1 species